rnacentral:misc_RNA from 1 species
CGGAAACACGGUGCCGGAUAACGUCCGGCGGGGGCGACCCCAGGGAAAGUGCCACAGAAAGCAAACCGCUCCGCUUCGCGGAGUAAGGGUGAAAGGGUGGGGUAAGAGCCCACCGCGGCCAUGGCGACAUGGACGGCACGGUAAACCCCACCGGGAGCAAGACCGAAUAGGGAUGACACGGGCGCGCAAGCGCCCAGCCGGUUUCCAGGCGCGUCAUCCGGGUGGGUUGCACGAGGCUGCGCGCAAGCGUAGUCCCAGAUGAAUGGCUGCCACGUUCCGUUUCCUUCGGGAGGCGGGG